UGGCUCCUACGGGGGGCAGCAGUCGAGAAUCAUUCACAAUGGGGGAAACCCUGAUGGUGCGACGCCGCGUGGGGGAAUGAAGGGCUUCGGAUUGUAAUCCCCUGUCAUGUGGGAGCAAAUUAAACAGAUAGUACCACAAGAGGAAGAGACGGCUAACUCUGUGCCAGCAGCCGCGGUAAUACAGAGGUCUCAAGCGUUGUUCGGAAUCACUGGGCGUAAAGCGUGCGUAGGCUGUUUCGUAAGUCGUGUGUGAAAGGAGCGGGCUCAACCCGCGGACG
rnacentral:rRNA from 1 species